GCGCCCGUAGCUCAAAAGGAUAGAGCAUCGGCCUCCGGAGCCGAGGGUUGGAGGUUCAAAUCCUCUCGGGCGCA
rnacentral:tRNA from 1 species